rnacentral:rRNA from 1 species
UCCUACGGGAGGCAGCAGUGGGGAAUUUUCCGCAAUGGGCGAAAGCCUGACGGAGCAAUACAGCGUGAGGGAAGACUGCCUAUGGGUUGUAAACCUCUUUUUUCAGGGAGGAAUAAAUGACGUGUACCUGAAGAAUAAGCAUCGGCUAACUCCGUGCCAGCAGCCGCGGUAAGACGGAGGAUGCAAGUGUUAUCCGGAAUCACUGGGCGUAAAGCGUCUGUAGGUGGUUUAAUAAGUCAACUGUUAAAUCUUGAGGCUCAACUUCAAAAUCGCAGUCGAAACUAUUAGACUAGAGUAUAGUAGAGGUAAAGGGAAUUUCCAGUGGAGCGGUGAAAUGCGUAGAUAUUGGAAAGAACACCGAUGGCGAAAGCACUUUACUGGGCUAUUACUAACACUCAGAGACGAAAGCUAGGGUAGCAAAUGGGAUUAGAUACCCCAGUAGUCCUAGCCGUAAACAAUGGAUACUAGAUGUUGAACAGAUCGACCUGUGCAGUAUCAAAGCUAACGCGUUAAGUAUCCCGCCUGGGAAGUAUGCUCGCAAGAGUGAAACUCAAAUGAAUUGACGGA